AGAGAGAGACAUGCGCGCAUAUCAAUAAGCGGAGGAAAAGAAACUAACAAGGAUUCCCUUAGUAACGGCGAGUGAAGCGGGAAGAGCUCAAAUUUGAAAUCUUCAAGGUUUUACCUUGACGAAUUGUAGUUUAAAGAAGGUGUUUUCGGUUAGAGGAGUUUAGUAAAAGUUCUUUGGAAUAGGACAUCAUAGAGGGUGAGAAUCCCGUAUUUGACCUAUUAUUUCCUAGCUUUGUGAUACACUUUCAAAGAGUCGGAUUGUUUGGGAAUGCAGUCCAAAAUGGGUGGUAAAUUUCAUCUAAAGCUAAAUAUUGGCGAGAGACCGAUAGCGAACAAGUACCGUGAGGGAAAGAUGAGAAGAACUUUGAGAAGAGAGUUAAACAGUACGUGAAAUUGUCAAAAGGGAAGCGUUUGACACCAGUGUUGUUUUCUCGAAAAUCAAUUAAAAAUGGCAGGAUUUUGUGUUGUAUUGACUUUAUCAGCUUUCUGCACUUUUUUCUUGUCUUUUUUAAUGCACUUUUCGUUUAACAAGUCAACAUCAAUUUCUUUUGUUGUAAAAGGGUCAUUGGAAGGUGGCUUUCUUUUCGGAGAAAGUGUUUAUAGCCUUUGGCCUCUGCAAUCGGAGAGAUUGAGGUCUGCAGCGUAGAUCCUUCGGGGUUAGAUACAUUUGUGCUAAGUUAUAGCCUUUCAUAGACAACUUGUUGACUAUGAUCAGUCAUGUAGCUUACUCGCAGUAUAGUCAUUUUACCUACGCUUAGGAUGUUGACAGCAGUAUAGACUGU
rnacentral:rRNA from 1 species